AGCAAACAGGAUUAGAUACCCUGGUAGUCCACGCCGUAAACGAUGGAUACUAGCUGUUCGGACUUCGGUCUGAGCGGCCAAGCGAAAGUGAUAAGUAUCCCACCUGGGGAGUACGUUCGCAAGAAUGAAACUCAAAGGAAUUGACGGGGGCCCGCACAAGCGGUGGAGCAUGUGGUUUAAUUCGAUGCAACGCGAAGAACCUUACCUACUCUUGACAUACUAGAAGCUUUUCAGAGAUGAAUUGGUGCCUUCGGGAAUCUAGAUACAGGUGCUGCAUGGCUGUCGUC
rnacentral:rRNA from 1 species